rnacentral:misc_RNA from 1 species
AAGGGCUCUUCAUCAACCACUCUUGUUGCCGCAACAAGUGCCAGGGCUGAAAUUAAAAUGUCUGAUGAUUUGGUUAAUGAAUCGUUAGGAACUAAUCGUCCUAUUCGUUGUAAGAGGAAGGGUAGCACAAUGGGUUCGAAAAGGAAACGCAUGCGGAUUGAUAAUGACAACUUGGUAGAGCUGAAGGUCACAGUGGUGCAAGCCCAAGGGUUGAUGCGUCCACCUUCGAGUGGUGCUCCAACAGUAAUUGUGAUAGAAGGCUGUGAAUUUGAAGAAUACGAGCAGGAAGAUGCGCCAAUUAUUGGAAGGCCCACAAUCCCUCAUAUGGAUCAGUUGGGUGAAAAAAUACAGUGGGUACAAUGUGAGGACUGUUUCAAGUGGCGAAAAGUUCCUGACAAUGUUGACCUUCCAUCGAGAUGGACUUGUUCAGACAACUCAUGCGACCCCGAGAGGUCUGUGUGCUCAGCAGUUCAAGAAUUAACAGCAGAUCAUCUGAGGGACCUACUACCUCAUAUUAAUAAAGCUUCCAAGAAAAGGAAGGCUUCUAAACAGGAAAUGGACUUGGUUGAAACUCUGG